rnacentral:sRNA from 1 species
GUCGAGGGCGGGUUGCCUCGCGCUGACCCUUCCCGCCCUCCUUCUCGUCACACACCAGGUCCCCGCGGAAGCCGCGGUGUCGGCGCCAUGGCGGAGCUGACGGCUCUUGAGAGUCUCAUCGAGAUGGGUUUCCCCAGGGGACGCGCGGAGAAGGCUCUGGCCCUCACAGGGAACCAGGGCAUCGAGGCUGCGAUGGACUGGCUGAUGGAGCACGAAGACGACCCCGAUGUGGACGAGCCUUUAGAGACUCCCCUUGGACAUAUCCUGGGACGGGAGCCCACUUCCUCAGAGCAAGGCGGCCUUGAAGGAUCUGGUUCUGCUGCCGGAGAAGGCAAACCCGUUUUGAGUGAAGAGGAAAGACAGGAACAAACUAAGAGGAUGUUGGAGCUGGUGGCCCAGAAGCAGCGGGAGCGUGAAGAAAGAGAGGAACGGGAGGCAUUGGAACGGGAACGGCAGCGCAGGAGACAAGGGCAAGAGUUGUCAGCAGCACGACAGCGGCUACAGGAAGAUGAGAUGCGCCGGGCUGCUGAGGAGAGGCGGAGGGAAAAGGCCGAGGAGUUAGCAGCCAGACAAAGAGUUAGAGAAAAGAUCGAGAGGGACAAAGCAGAGAGAGCCAAGAAGGUAGGUGACUGAGAAGACGCCACGGGUAAUGGAGUGGGCAGUAUGGUGGCAGUGUGGGCUCUCAGCCACCCCCAGUGGCACCAGAGCCAGGUCCUGUUCCCUCUUCUCCCAGCCAGGAGCCUCCCACCAAGCGGGAGU